rnacentral:lncRNA from 1 species
UAGCUUGCAUUGCACUUCUGAUUGAGCUUGGUUGAUAAUCGUUUGCACCCAACGUAAUUGGUCUUCAGAAAUUUAAGCUGGGUAUCCGUCAGAUUGGUGCAAUUGCUGAGAGAUGUGUGGCAUAUGUAUGGGUGGAUUUUUCUGUAGGGAUCGAAUGAAUGCAUGCCUCCCCUAAGGAGAGAUGUUUGAUGGUCGGAGAAGCUACGCCGGCAGCUGCGAAGCCAUUGUAGUCACCAGUUGUAAUUGGCGAGAAAUGACAGAAUUAU